CUAGCAAGGCGCGCCGCGGCCAGCUGUGUGGGUCCUGCUGCGUCGUCCGUCCUCGUUACCAUGGACACCAUGUUACAGUGUUGUGACUUGUGAUGCUAAUGUCAAACUGGAGCUAGACGGGUCAUAUUCAACAAUAUCUACAGGACAAGAGUUAUAUGAAGUUAUAACGUUAUUAUCUAGCCUCAAUAAAGUCGCUAGAGAUGUCACCAAAUAAGGAUGUAAAACUUCCACCAUUAACACCAUCACAAAAACAAAGACUGACAUGUGACCAUGGAGUACAAAAUGACACGCUCCUGACUGAGGAAGGACAAGAAGGAGAAAGUGCCGGGGCUGUUUCUGUCCAACCUGCAGUGACAGAGUUUAGCUCGAAAGGUAGCAGCUACAUUUAUUCAGGCCCAUGGAGGAAGCCUCAACUCCUGAUGCACCUGGAAAACUACGUGAACAAGGAGCUCCAUGCUAUCGGCUCCCAUGAGCCCAAAUUCCAGGAACUCAAACUGCAGGUCUACCGUGAUGUCUUUGGUUGUUUCAUCAAAGAGUUCAAAACCUACCAACCGCUUCUUGCUGCCAUCAAAAAGGAAUAUGAAAACACUUUAGUAUAUCAACAAAAUAAAAUUCAAGAACUGAUGCCCCUCCGAUCCCACCUGAGGCUGGUGACAGAGGAUUGUGACAGGAGGAUUCAAGCUCGCUGGGCAGAGGAGCAGGCUGAGAUUAGAGCCUUGAAAAGGGAGAAGCAGCAACUGCAGAGGGACAUUGAGGCCAGGAGGGAGAAGGAAAAGGCCAUGCAGGCAGUGGUGGACCGCCUGCAGUCUGAACUGUCCAACCAGUAUCUGCAGUACCGGGAGGAGCGAGAUGCUCGCCAGCUGCUGAUCUGUCAGCUCAAUCAUCUAACAAGAGGCUCUGUGAAGGGGGACCAUCCCAGCGAUGAAAGCACAGAAGGGGCCAAGGACCGUGUGGAGCUGCAGCUUGCUCUCAAGGUGUGUCGGAAAGACCUGACUGAAGUCCAGGAGGAGCUCAUCAAGAUGAAGGCCGACUAUUGGGAUGUCGUGCCGAAACGCAACUGGGACACCCUGGAACAAACACACAAACAGAACCUCCUACAGAUGAAUAGGCUGCAGGGAGACUUUGACCAGCUGAAGAGUGAGUACGACACCUUGCUGCAGCUCCAUAAAAGAGGCAGCAUCCAGAUGGAGACCCAUGACCCCGUUGCCGUGCAGAUGGAGGGCAGUUUGUUUCAAAGACAGAUUCAGUCCGACCUCCUCAAAGAGCCAAUCAACUCUGACGACCCCGAGAGCGGCAACCUCACCGUCCAGGAGUUUAGAGAGUAUUUUGUGUUCAUACUUGUUUGUACAGGAUGGCCUCGAGGACCGUGCUCCCUCUGAAGUCAGACCAGGGAACAGAUGAACUUGUGGACUCCACUCGAAGCGACCCAGACAACAGCGAUGAAACCAUCUCCACUCAGAGGCUCCACAGCCUGCUAGCAGAAAAUGGGGCCGUACCUCCAGCUCUAGGAGAGUCAGAGAAAAAUGCUGCAUCAACUUCCGGUCCAGCCAGCGACUGAUUUAAUGUUUUUUGUUACAUUUCAUGUUUUGUUUGUUAAGAAGGUACAAGGACAACUUGGGGCCUUAAUUCUAACAACCUCUGCCUCAUCAGAUUGAACACGGGAAACAGGAAAUGUGUACUUCUACAAAGACAGUAUCUAAAUAAUGAUAUAUUUGAUAUAUAUUUACAUCCACCACAGCCUGUGAAACACCAACGAGCCACACUUUUCAUUCUGGUGUGUUGCAGUUCUUACAGCCUGAGAGCAGAUAGCAGUGCAGAUGGUGAAUCUGCAUAAAGUGUGGAAACGGGCUCGCCUCAAAAGGCCUUGAAGCACGUGGUCUGCAGGAAGAGAUUAAUGAAUGUGUGCUGUUUUUCGAUAAAGUGACCACCCAAGAUAACCUCUUUUCAGCUUUACGGUUUCUUCUAAAUAUUUUUUUUUAUAAAGUAGUAAUGUUAGGACACACUUUCUCAUUGAAUUGAAUGAGAAAAUGUGUCCUUGCCUUUUGACUGGUUACGAUCAUUUUCAUUUCUUAAAGCUUGAGCAACAUUGCUUUUGUAAAAAAGGCUGAAAAUUAAAGUGCAUGCCACAGAAACGGGUUAUUAUCUCAAAACCAAUCUACAAAAAUGUCAAAUAAAUAUUUCAACA